UACGUAGGUGGCAAGCGUUUGUCCGGAAUUAUUGGGCGUAAAGCGCGCGCAGGCGGCCUCUUAAGUCUGAUGUGAAAGCCCCCGGCUCAACCGGGGAGGCCAUUGGAAACUGGGAGGCUUGAGUAUAGGAGAGAAGAGUGGAAUUCCACGUGUAGCGGUGAAAUUGCGUAGAGAUGAUGGAGGAACACCAGUGGCGAAGGCGACUCUUUGGCCUAUAACUGACGCUGAGGCGCGAAAGCGUGGGGAGCAAACAGGAUUGAGAAACCCU
rnacentral:rRNA from 1 species